CUGCAAUGAUGACCAAUUAGGACACCUUUGAUUAUCCAUGAAGACGAAUCAGAAACCUGAGCAGC